CAGUUAUACAAACAAGAGAAGUGGCACUCCGUGCUUGCCUAGCGACAUACUCACAACCACAUAGAUAAGGGGGAGUUGUGCAGACAGCUUUUCAGGGUUAAGCAAUUGACUAUCAAUCAAUAAUCUUUUAUGAAAGAAGAGAUGGUGCAGCACACGCAUGCCCAAUAUUAAGAGAGAGAAGACAUUUAUUGAGGCAAGCAGCUGGAGUGGACCUGCCCCCAUCACCAGGCCAGCUUCCCACCUGCACGUGCAGCUCUUUCUUCUUUUGCAGGAGGCUGGCUCUGCUCAUUAGACAUGCAACAAAGAGCUGGCCUGUGGAGCACACAUCCAUAUUCAUAACUCAAGUCAGCUGGAAAGUUGUACAUUUUUCUUUCUGGGAAGUCAUGGCGACAAAGACUGAAGACCCAGGCAGCACAAAUGUGAAUGAUGGAUCUCUUGGAAGAACAACAAAGACUGAAGUGAGUAUAUUUUAUGCUUGGAAAUGAGCAAAUCAUUCCUUUUGACAAGCCAUUGAUGUUGGGGUUCCAUGGAAAAGAGAAGGAGGUGAACAAAAGGAAGAAAUGCAGAGAAAAAUAUGGAAUAGAAAUAUGAGGGAAGAUAUUAGCAAACUGGCUACAUCUUUUAUGACAAACUCAACUGAUUACAUCUUUUCCAAGAACAUCUUCAGAGGUUUGCUGGAGUUUGGAUUUACUACUGAGUCAUAUUUGGAGCAUGCUGGAAUCUUACAACUGAGAUUACCGAGUCAGAAACUAGUUUGACUGUUCUCGUCGGCAUGGUUGAGACAUUAUCCCUGGCAGAAGGCUGGACUGGCAUGGACAUCAUUUGAUGAGUUCGUCUCCUCUUAACAAUCAAAGCCUGUUUUCCAGUGCGAAUAAACUGUUGCCUUAUAUAUUGUUUUCCCAUUUUUAUAGUUGUUUACUGCAAAAAAGAGUCUGGUACAAGUUACUUUGCUAAAACCUUGAUAAAGUUUUAUUCUACGAUUCUUCAAUCAAUGUUUCUGUUUUGUUUAUUCUGUUAUCUCUGUUGUGUCAUACCAUAAUUCUCUCAUUAAUAGCUCAUAUUCUUUUUCAUAGCUAUUCAAUUCUUUAGCAGUUUCUACUUUUAUGUUUGGGAGAAAAUUGAAAGCUUGAUUUCUUAUUUUGACAAGUUUUCUAAAGGUUUCAGCAUGCAAUAUUUUUUUUCAUAGCCUUACAGUUUGUAAUAGUUCAUCUGAUUGUAAAGCUCUUACAAUCUUUCCUGAUUUUAAGUCAUUUUAACAACGACUUUCUCUCUUUUUUAUUUUUAAGAAACAAUGUCCUCCUUUUCAUUUGUUGAGAACUCUACUCAGCUUUUAAAAAACUUCCUGUGUAUGUACCUUAAUUCUUUUGACAAUAAAACAUUACUCUGAAUAUUCAAAGGGUCUUUCUUCUUUAGAAUGGUGGUUCCAAAGAGCUAUAUUUUCCUACAUUUGGUGAUCUUUCUUUUGUAAAUUUGGAACUUGGUUUAUAGCUUUUUAAAAAGGUUUUACCAACUACUAAUAUGGAACCACAUGCUGUUUUCUUUAUGAGUGGAUUUUUCAGACAUUCUGUUAAUGCAAACCAGACGUUCAUGACUGCAUCAGUCUAUGAAAGCUGAGAGAUACCUGGGGCCAUAGGCAUUCUCUCCAGUACAAGUUGCCUCUUCUUUUCCUUUGCCAUGUUUAAUGAAGUUCACUUAUUCAUGUCAAAAUACUUUUUUUUCCUUCACCCAUUCACUUUCUCCUUGUUGUCCUUCAGCCUCAUCCCACCUCCUCCUCUACUCACACACAAACACAUUCCAAGCCUGAUCCCUGGGACUUGCCCAAGGCAGGUGGGAGUUCAUUUGUUCUCUAAAUGUUUUACCCCGCACCCUACCUCCUAACCCCCUGCCCCUCCACCUGGCUCCCCCACAUUUCCCUCUAAGAGGGAGUUGUAAGAUGGUUUAUCCUCAGGCACUUCCACUUAUCUCCUGGGCAUAUGCCCUUUCUCAGAAAAAGUAGUAAGUUGGAAUAUUACAACAUCCUCUGAUGUAAUGUAGCCACUCACUUAGUUUACAAAUCAGAAAUCAGUGGUAGUUUUUGUUGUUUUGUCAACAUCCUGAAGAAUUAAAUACGGAUACUCCUAUAUACAAACAUUUUACUCCCAUCUUUAUAUUCUUUUUUUUUCUGUUUGCCAUUCUAAUUGAAAUCGAGUGGUAGAAAGCAACAUAGAUAGGCUCAUUGUCAUCUUACCCAGGAAAUAAAGGAAAACUUACUGAAUGCAAACUUGGUACUGUACACUAGAAUGUAAAAGCUCACUUCCAGCUUAGUAAAGGACCAAGAAAGCUACUACAAAGCGAAUUCAAGCACUGGAGCUACUCUACUGAACCACGUAGAAUCCUGUCCUCCCUCACCAUGUCCACAAGGACACAGUAUGGGGUAGAAAGGCAACACAUGCCUGUGCAGAAGGAAAGAGCAGGUUACUGUAUUAGAAAAGCCAUUUGUGUGAGGCCAAAUCGUGAUUCUGACAGCCCAAUUAUGACAAGUGACAUAUUUACAAGGU
rnacentral:lncRNA from 1 species